rnacentral:pre_miRNA from 1 species
CCCGCGGCCGGCGGGGAAACCGUUACCAUUACUGAGUUUAGUAAUGGUAACGGUUCUGCCGACGGCCGGCAG